GGGCUGCCUACACAGGGUAGCAGCUAGAAGCACUGGCUUGACAACACGGGCCCUUCAUGUCGUUUGGCUAAAGAGCAAAGGCCACCCUGGCUCACAGAAGAACCCCACCAGGCAGACAUAUAGUCGCUUCAGAUGUAACGGAAGGGAGAUGGGCAAGAGGAGGGAAAGUUCUCGGUUAGCAAUGCAGAUGGUAAGGAAGGUGAAGCAGAGGUGAGCAGGGUGGCAGUGUGUGAAGUCUCUGGCUCCUCCCUUUCCUUUCCCUUCCUCCCAGGGUAGCCCUGCCCAGUCCUAGAAGGGGAGCUGCGGUCCUCACCCUCUCUUUGAAGAAGGCAGGCUGGGGAUGCUGCACGGUGGUGGCUUUGACAAAAUUGGUGGUUACGUUAAAAAGGCUGCCUUAGCUCAUGGGCACUGCAGACUGCUCCGGUGGUGGGUUGCUGCUUUACAGACACCGAGCUAAUGCUUGUGGGUCUCCUAUUCCUGAGGUCUGCCACCUCAAAGACACUCGGGGCCGAGGCCCAGUUUGAGGGUGGCGUGGUAGCAGCUGCUCGUGGGGGAGGCUGGCACUGGCCCUGCUUGUCUGGGAGCUCGUGCAGCUCGCUCUGCACAAUGUGUCACUUGCACUGUGCAGAUGAAGAAUGAGCCGCUGGAGUGGGAUCCCAGCUGGGGGACAUGUGAGAUGGCCAUCUUUUAGGCAAAGCCCUAGCAAAGAAGCUGUGCAAGGCCUACCUGCCCAUCGGUGAGAACAUGGACACAUUUUGCAGCAAAGCCUGAAGCAGAGCUGAUAAGGGGAUGCUCCCAGCGGCCCGGGCUGAGGGAAGUGGGUCCCUUAACCACCUCUGUGGCUGGACAGGCCUGAAGCUGAGAAACCACAAGACGAGCCGGGCCCAGGCCCAUCUGGGGUGUGCAGGUCUCCGACAGAAGCAAACCACAUCCAACUUCUUUUGUAAAGGCCGCUACAUCAAGGAACCAGAUCAGGAAAAGCUGACUGGUUUUUACUUGUUAAUGAACAAGUAGCAAGACCCUGGGAUGAGUCCUUGCAGCUAGCAGACACCAGAGAACCAUGAGUUUUUGAGAAUCCUCAUCUUGGCAUUAACAAAGGCAGCGUUCCCUCAGCCUGUCCCUUGGACCAAAGCAAAACGAGUUUCUCUCCCACCAGGCCCUCCUCAAACAUCCGGCUGAGCCACUGUCCAAGGCCGUGCAUGGAGUCUACAUCACACCUCGGGUCGGCUAACCCACCCCACGUGUGCACAGGUCCCACGCACCGUUCACUUGCUACUCUUGGAGACAUAGAGCACAGCAGUACAUGACACAAGGGAUAUUUUCGUUAGUGUCACAGCUAGCUCACUCGGUGGCAGUCACCUUUAGGCUAAAGCAUCAGGAUUCCAGGGAAUACUCACGUUAGUUGAUGGAUGUUGGAAGGCAUUGGAGGAAAACACCAUAGUUAGGACAGUUAAUGACCUACACACGGUUGGUAAGACUGAUCUCGAACAUGCGCAAACAUUUAUCCUAGUAACCAUGGUGCUGGUUAGUGCCACGUUCAAA
rnacentral:lncRNA from 1 species